CCUACGGGUGGCAGCAGUGGGGAAUAUUGGACAAUGGGGGGAACCCUGAUCCAGCCAUGCCGCGUGUGUGAAGAAGGCCCUCGGGUUGUAAAGCACUUUCAGUGAGGAAGAACGCCUGGUGGUUAAUACCCAUCAGGAAAGACAUCACUCACAGAAGAAGCACCGGCUAACUCCGUGCCAGCAGCCGCGGUAAUACGGAGGGUGCGAGCGUUAAUCGGAAUUACUGGGCGUAAAGCGCGCGUAGGUGGCUUGAUAAGCCGGUUGUGAAAGCCCCGGGCUCAACCGGGGAACGGCAUCCGGAACUGUCAAGCUAGAGUGCAGGAGAGGAAGGUAGAAUUCCCGGUGUAGCGGUGAAAUGCGUAGAGAUCGGGAGGAAUACCAGUGGCGAAGGCGGCCUUCUGGACUGACACUGACACUGAGGUGCGAAAGCGUGGGUAGCAAACAGGAUUAGAUACCCCAGUAGUC
rnacentral:rRNA from 1 species